UACGGGGGUGGCAAGCGUUGUUCGGAAUUACUGGGCGUAAAGGGCGCGUAGGCGGGGAGGUAAGUCGGGUGUGAAAUCCCUCGGCUCAACCGAGGAACUGCGCCCGAGACUGCCUUUCUUGAGUCCCGGAGAGGAAGGUGGAAUUCCCGGUGUAGCGGUGAAAUGUGUAGAGAUCGGGAGGAACACCGGUGGCGAAGGCGGCCUUCUGGACGGUGACUGACGCUGAGGCGCGAAGGCGUGGGGAGCAAACGGG
rnacentral:rRNA from 1 species